GACGAACGCUGGCGGCGUGCUUAACACAUGCAAGUCGAACGGAAAGGCCCUGCUUUUGUGGGGUGCUCGAGUGGCGAACGGGUGAGUAACACGUGAGUAACCUGCCCUUGACUUUGGGAUAACUUCAGGAAACUGGGGCUAAUACCGGAUAGGAGCUCCCGCUGCAUGGUGGGGGUUGGAAAGUUUCGGCGGUCGGGGAUGGACUCGCGGCUUAUCAGCUUGUUGGUGGGGUAGUGGCUUACCAAGGCUUUGACGGGUAGCCGGCCUGAGAGGGUGGCCGGCCACCAUGGGACUGAGAUACGGCGCAGACUCCUACGGGAGGCAGCAGUGGGAAAUAUUGCACAAUGGGCGGAAGCCUGAUGCGGCAACGCCGCGUGCGGGAUGACGGCCUUCGGGUUGUAAACCGCUUUCGCCUGUGACGAAGCGUGAGUGACGGUAAUGGGUAAAGAAGCACCGGCUAACUACGUG
rnacentral:rRNA from 1 species